GAAGACUUAACCCAGGUUUAAGUGGACAAAGGUACACUGGAGAAUUGCAGCUGAUCUGGGGAAGUGAACUAAGCUUUUCCUAAGCUCAAAUUCACUCCUGACAAAUUCCUGAAAAAUAUUCCACAUGGAAACAAAACUUUUUCUUCCUCUGCUGCAAAGGGAAAGUGAAGAGAGCAGGAGAAUAUUUUUUCACCCUGUCCCUUCCUUUUGCUCUGCAAUUUUGUGUGACUUCUGAGUUUCAUCCAGCCCAGAGGCAGAGACUGUGCAGAAAUAAAGGUAACCUUUUUCAGUUUCCUGCACACUGCAGUGAGUGACAUAAUGUUGCAGAGAGAAGCCCCAUGAGGCAACAGAUUUUUGGUGUUAUUAGUUACUGUUUAGUAAUUUUCUCCUGGGAACAAAAAUGAAAAGCAACAGCAACAGGUCUUCACUUGCGAGUCAAGAAAACACAAAGGAAUAGAUCAACUGAAUUAGUUUGGGGGUUUGGUUAAUUAUCUCCAAAGCUUUUAGCUUAAACUCAUGUUCAGCUAAUCCCUGUCAGCUGCAUCUUCCCUUGUCAGCUGCAUCUUCUCUUGCCAACACAGAGGAAAUCAAUUCAUUCUCACAGAUUCCAGCUGUGUUUGUGAAGUUACUACAAAAGUGUUACUGCUGUGCUGUGAAUGCUUCUUUUUUUGUCAAGAAGCAGGCUUCAAUCUGGGAACAAUGAGGAGCAUCUAAAUUUAAUGAUUGCAAUGAACAAGCAUAAGAAGGUGAUUGCAACCAGGAGAGUCUGAUUUUUUACUUACUUGAAGGAGAAAGAUUGGGAGCAAUGGAAAGAAUGAAUUGUGCCAAUGAGUGAAUGAAAAAAUGAAUGGUUAUAGGUAAUGUGCCCAUGACAGGAAGGGAAGAAGGAUCUUCAGAGAGAGCUGUAUCAGAAGAAGUGGUAGGUAGUAUUAUUUUGUCAUGAAGAACCUGGGCUAGCCGUAAGAAAAGCCAAUCCCAGAAAAGAAACCAGAGGAAACUAACAGAUAAAAACAUGGAGGAAGACCUUGAAUGGGUCAGAAACUGCCAGGAAAGACACUGGUCUGGAAGUUCAUUCUCAUAGAAACAUUAAACAAUUUGAUAGUCCUUGGAAGUUAAGUUCUGCUUCUGAAAUUACAAAAUCUUGGAAGUUCUGUUCUGAAAUUAUGUUCAAUAGAUUUCCACAAGUCUACUUUUGCAAUCUCCAAUAGAAAACCAAAACACAGACCUAUAACUCCAGUAGCAAGGUGCAACGCUGCAAAAAUGCAGGUUUAUAUAACAGGAAAACAAAAGGCUACUAAUGGGACAGACAGCCCCAGCAAAUUAACCUCAAGAUAAGAAAAAAAAGGGAUAAAUUGAGAUGCAGAUCCUCAGCACCUGUUAGGUGCCCUAAAACACUGGAAUUGCUGGGGUCUGCUCAGACUCCAGAGGUAUAAAGAUACUUCUGUACCCCACCAGCAGGACAGCAAGGACCAUGAGGGAAACUCCUGCAAAAUACAUCAAUUCUUCCACUCUGUCUUGCCUGGCUGCAAUGUAGACCUCUGAAAAGUCU
ensembl:lncRNA